GACCGACUGAUGGGAGUGAGCUCCCUAAUAUGAGCGGCGGCCCGGUGAGUAUCACGUGGGUAACCUGCCUGUAAGAUUGGGAUAACUCCGUGGACAACGGAGCUAAUACCGGAUAACAUUUUGAACCGCAUGGUUCGAAAUUGAAAGAUGGUUUCGGCUAUCACUUACAGAUGGACCCGUGGCGCAUAAGCUAGUUGGUGAGGUAACGGCUCACCAAGGCAACGAUGCGUAGCCGACCUGAGAGGGUGAUCGGCUACUCUGGGACUGAUACACGGUCCAUACUCCUACGGGAGGCAUCAGUAUGGAAUCUUCCGCAAUGGACGAAAGUCUGACGGAGCAUCGCCGCGUGAACGAUGAAGGCCUUCGGGUCGUAAAGUUCUGUUGUUAGGGAAGAACAAGUACCAGAGUAACUGCUGGUACCUUGACGGUACCUAACCAGAAAGCCACGGCUAACUACGUGCCAGCAGCCGCGGUAAU
rnacentral:rRNA from 1 species